rnacentral:rRNA from 1 species
UACGUAGGGUGCAAGCGUUGUCCGGAAUCACUGGGCUUAAAGGGCGCGUAGGCGGGUCAUCAAGUCGGGGGUGAAAUCUUUCAGCUCAACUGGAAAAGAGCUUCCGAUACUGGUGGUCUCGAGGGAGGUAGGGGUCGAUGGAACUUCCGGUGGAGCGGUGAAAUGCGUAGAUAUCGGAAGGAACACCAGUGGCGAAAGCGGCUUCCUGGUCCAGCACCGACGUUCAGGCACGAAAGCGUGGGGAGCAAACAGG